rnacentral:rRNA from 1 species
AAACUUUGCAAUGUGCGAAAGCACGACAAGGUUAAUCCGAGUGAUUCCUGCUAAAGGAAUCUUUUGUUAGUCAUAAUACCACUAACGAAUAAGGGGUGGGCAAGUUCUGGUGUCAGCCGCCGCGGUAAAACCAGCACCUCAAGUGGUCAGGAUGAUUAUUGGGCCUAAAGCAUCCGUAGCCGGCUUUGUUAGUUUUCGGUUAAAUCCAUAUGCUCAACAUAUGGGCUGCCGGGAAUACUGCAAAGCUAGGGAGUGGGAGAGGUAGACGGUACUCCGUAGGAAGGGGUAAAAUCCUUUGAUCUAUGGAUGACCACCUGUGGCGAAGGCGGUCUACCAGAACACGUCCGACGGUGAGGGAUGAAAGCUGGGGGAGCAAACCGGAUUAGAUACCCGGGUAGUCCCAGCUGUAAACUAUGCAAACUCAGUGAUGCAUUGGCUUGUGGCCAGUGCAGUGCCGCAGGGAAGCCGUUAAGUUUGCCGCCUGGGAAGUACGUACGCAAGUAUGAAACUUAAAGGAAUUGGCGGGGGAGCAC